UACAGGGGGUGCAAACGUUGCUCGGAAUCAUUGGGCGUAAAGCGCACGUAGGCGGUUCGUUAUGUCGGAUGUGAAAGCCCUUGGCUUAACCGAGGAAGUGCAUCCGAAACUGGCGGCUAGAGUACGAAAGAGGAUCGCGGAAUUCCCGGUGUAGAGGUGAAAUUCGUAGAUAUCGGGAGGAACACCGGUGGCGAAGGCGGCGAUCUGGGUCGAUACUGACGCUGAGGUGCGAAAGCGUGGGGAGCAAACAGG
rnacentral:rRNA from 1 species